rnacentral:rRNA from 1 species
UUAUUUUAUUAAUUUACAUAUCGCUGUAGUUUGAAUAUUYUAAAAGAAUUAUAAUGUUCAAGAUUUUUAUUAAAAAAUAAAUCAGGUCAAGGUGUAGUUUAUAGAUAAGAAGAGAUGGGUUACAUUAAACUUAUUUAAAUGGAUAAUAAAUUGAAAAAUUUAUUUGAAGGUGGAUUUAAAAGUAAUUUUUUUUAAAUAAUAAAGAUGAUUUUAGCUCUAAAAUAUGUACAUAUCGCCCGUCAUUUUCACUAUAAAGUGAAACAAGUCGUAACAUAGUAGGUGUACUGGAAAGUGUACCUAGAAAGACAAAUUAGAGCUUGUUAUAAAGCAUUUUAGUUACAUUAAAAAGUUUAUUGUGAAAAUCAAUAUAAUUUGAAUUUAUUUUAUUAUUUUUUUUUAAAAAAUUUUUAUUUAUUUAAUUAAAAUAUUUUAAUGUUUUAUUAUUGAAAUGAAAAAAUUUUGUUUAUAAUAGAGUAUUAGUAUUGUGAAAGAAAUAAAAUAAAUUUUUUGAAGAAAAAUUUAAUUUUUGUACCUUGUGCAUCAGGGUUUAUUAAAUAAAAAUUAUAAGUUUAAUUUUCUCGAAUUUAAAAGGGCUAUAAUAAUAUAAUUUUUAUUGUUUUAUAAAUAUUAAUAAUAUUUUUAUAGUAAUGAAAUGUUAUUCGUUUUUAAAUAUAUCUAGUUUUUUAAGAAAUAAAUUUAAUUUAAUUAAUAAGAAUAUUUAAUUAAAUUUUUAAUUUAAUAUUAUUAUUAUUAAAUAUUUUAAGGGAUGAGCUUUAAAAUAAAUUUUUAUAAAUAAAUUAAAAAUUUAAAUAAAUAGGAUUAUAAAUUUUCAUUUUUAUUAAUAUGUUAUAAUUAUUUUAAUUUUAAAUAAAAUUUUUAUUUAUUUUAAGUUUUAUAUUAAAAUAUUAAUUUAAAUUUUAUAAAUUAAGAAAUAAUGAUAGAAUUAGUAUAAUAAUUUGUAUUUUAAAAUAUAAAUUUAUGUUAAUUAAAGGAAUUCGGCAAAGGAUUUUUCACCUGUUUAUAAAAACAUGUCCUUUUGAUUUUAAUUUAAGGUCUAACCUGCCCAAUGAAAAAUUAAAUGGCCGCGGUAUUUUGACCGUGCAAAGGUAGCAUAAUCAUUUGUUUUUUAAUUGAAAGCUGGAAUGAAGGGUUGAAUGAAAAAAUAACUGUCUCUAAUUAAUUUAAUUAGAAAUUUAUUUUUAAGUUAAAAAGCUUAAAUAAAUUUUGAAGACGAGAAGACCCUAUAGAGUUUAAUAAUUAUGAAUUAAUAAAAUUUAGUAUUUAUAUUUUUAUAGAGGUAAUAAUUAUUUAAUUGGGGUGAUUGAAAAAUUAGGUUAACUUUUUUUGUAUAGUAUCAUAAAUUUAUGCAUAAUUGAUCCUUUAAGAGAUUAAAAGAAUAAAUUACCUUAGGGAUAACAGCGUAAUUUUUUUUUAGAGUUCAAAUCGAAAGAAAAGAUUGCGACCUCGAUGUUGGAUUAAAAUUAAUUAUUGGUGUAGUAGCUAAAUAAAUUGGGUCUGUUCGACCCUUAAAAUUUUACUUGAUCUGAGUUCAAACCGGUGUAAGCCAGGUUGGUUUCUAUCUCAAAAUAGUUAAUAUAUUUUAGUACGAAAGGACCAAAUAUUUAAUUAAUAAUUUUAUUAUUGAAUAAUAUUAAUAAGUUAUUUUGGCAGAUUAGUGCUAAUAGAUUUAGAAUCUAUUUAUGUAAUUUUUACAAAUAAUACUUGAUAUUUAAGGAUAUAAUUAUAAUAAUAAUUUCUAUAGUAAUUUUAAUUUUAUGUGUGAUGAUUAGUGUUGCAUUUUUAACAUUAUUAGAACGAAAAGUUUUAGGAUAUAUUCAAAUUCGUAAGGGACCA